GAGGAUUCAUCAGUAUUUGAAGGGGUUGUGAAGGAGAAAAAGAUGUAAUGUAAAGCUGUUCGGUCAAAUUACUAAACUUUUGAUACAGUGCAGGAUGAAUUGAUGUUUUCAUGUUAACACCAAAUUCUGAAUAUCACAGCAGAAAUUAAGACUUGUGUGGCCCAGCUUCGGUGAGCCUGCUCCUAGCUGGCAGGAGUGGCAUCUGGUGUGGUCUUCUGUUGCUGUAGCCCAUCUGCUUCAAGGUUGUGCAUUCAGAGUGGAUCUUCUGCCUACCUUGGUUGUAACGAGUGGUCACUUAAGCCUUCCAAUUACCACAAAGCAGUCUGGCUGUUCUCGUGAAUGGACUGCAGGUCGUCUUGAACAUGGCAACGUGCCUAAAUGCAUUGAGCUUCUGCCAUCUGAUCGGCUAUGUACCUAUUAAAGUGAGAGUAUAUGGACAAACUAGGCGCACUAGCUGAUAGCUACUGCUACCAGUGCUAGUGUUGGGUCCAUAGGGUGCACAGCACAAACUCAUCGACUGGUGAGAGUUACUGCAACCGCUGCUCAAGCGCUGUGUGUGUGUGUGUGUGCGUGCACGCGCGCAUUCACUCAGUUUCUCACGGUCCUUAAGAAGAAAAGAGGCCUUGUCUGGUUCCAUUAGUGACCUGAGGAGCGGCAGCACUCGGUCCUGGCUGCAUGGAGGACAGCGCUUAUUAGACAGCAGUUUAGUCACGAGUAGGAUGUUUAGUUAGAGAGGAAAGUAACAAAAAAGGAGAUUAAUGGAAGUAUAAUAAGGCUAUGUGCUGUCAGCUGUUUCAACCUGUCGGCAGCCACAUUCCUUUUUGUCCGUCUUUGGGACUAAGUAUUAUAUUACCCUUCAAACCGCUUUCGCUCAUGUCUGCCAAACAUGAAGCUACAGCCAGAAGUUGCUGCUGACUGUGGGUUGCACAGCACAAAGACGGGCAGGGAAGAGGGAGCCCACCUUUAUCCAAUGUUCAAAAAGAAAAAAAAUUUUUUCUUAAAAUUCUUAGUUAUCCAGCGGUGAUUUCCCACCUUAAAACCAAAAAUUCACUUUUUUACGGUUCCUUUUCUCUACAGAGUGGACCUUGCAAGUAUCCUUAAUAUGGCCAUCUUGGGCACAUAGCUCUGACUAUAAACACAAGCUCCACCCACCUGAUGUUCAAGCCUGCUUGCAAGGGCCAUCCAAUCAGAACAAAGCUGGCUUGAAAGCUUCAGUUCAUCCAUUGUGGUUCAGACGGUGGGACGAACUGAAGGGCAGCAUGAAAGCCUCGU
ensembl:lncRNA